AUUGAACGCUGGCGGCAGGCCUAACACAUGCAAGUCGAACGAGUGGCGGACGGGUGAGUAAUGUCUGGGAAACUGCCUGAUGGAGGGGGAUAACUACUGGAAACGGUAGCUAAUACCGCAUACCAUCAGAUGUGCCCAGAUGGGAUUAGCUAGUUGGUGGGGUAACGGCUCACCAAGGCGACGAUCCCGAGCUGGUCUGAGAUGAGGACAAGCCACCCGGGAACUGAGAUGCGGUCCAGACGCCUACGGUAGGCAGCAGUGGGGAAUAUUGCACAAUGGGCGCAAGCCUGAUGCUGCCAGGCCGCGUGUAUGAAGAAGGCCUUCUGGUUUGAAAGUAAUUUCAGCGGGGAGGCGUUACCCGCAGAAGAAGCACCGGCUAACUCCGUGCCAGCAGCCGCGGUAAUUC
rnacentral:rRNA from 1 species